GAAGUUCGUGAUCAAGAUAUCAAGCGAAGUUCGUGAUCAAGAUAUUGUGUUCGUAAUCAAGAUUAAGUCGUGAAGACCCUUGAAGCGAAGAUCAAGUGUUCGUGAUCAAGAUUAACUCGUGAAUACCCUUGAAGCGAAGAUCAAGUGUUCGUGAUCAAGACUAAGUCGUGAAGACCCUUGACGCGAAGAUCAAGCAUGUUCGUGAUCAAGACUAAGUCCAAGUUUGCAACUCUUGAAGAUAAAUUGAAGAAAUUAAUCAGAGGAAUUUCCAGAGAUCAUCACUCACUUCAUCAAAUUUUUGUAUUUGUCUCAUAAUUUUCAAGUCAAGAAAUUUCGACGAGAAAUUUGUGUGUACAAAUUUCUGGCACACCCAGUGAGACAAUCUUUGCCUCUCAUCUGCUUUCUUCAAGCAAAUCUCCAAAUAUCUCCAAGUUGCAAUGGCUCCUAAGAAGAAUCUCGCCAACAAACCUACUGUCAAGCCUGCUAA
rnacentral:lncRNA from 1 species